UGGCAAACACUCAUGAUAUAAAUAACCAAGUCAAUGAUAAAUUGCAUCUCUUUAUACCUGACCUUGCACUUUUAUACAUCCCAAAGGGACUAAUUAGUCUAACUCAAAAAUACAUGUAAAUUCUACAGAGAAUUUAUGAAGUAUAAAACCCAAAAAAAAAGAUAAAUAAGGAACAGUCAAAUAAUAUAACAAUGACUCAUUAACUCCUAAACAGCUUACCAACAACUGAACUUUGUCAUGCUAUGUGUGUGUGUAUAUAUAUAGAAAUAAAAGAAGAGGAAAUGAAUGCAACUAGUUUUAAUAUGAUUUCCAAUACAUUGUCAGUUGCAUACAACCUAUUGAAUAAGUGAAUAAAGAAGGCCCUCACCAAUUUUCGAA
rnacentral:misc_RNA from 1 species